AGGUCAUUUCAAAAAGGGCUUGUCGGACCAAAACCAGCUCUUAAUGCUGUGACCAAAACCUGAAGUUCUCCAUAGGAUAUAACAGUCACUCAAUAGUGCUAUGUUUUCCUGAGGAAAUAUAAGG
ensembl:snoRNA